rnacentral:rRNA from 1 species
UACGUAGGGGGCAAGCGUUGUCCGGAAUCAUUGGGCGUAAAGCGCGUGUAGGCGGAUUGGAAGGUCUGGUGUGAAAGCCCGGGGGCUCAACCCCGGAGGGUCACUGGAAACCGACAGUCUUGAGUCCGGAAGAGGAGAGUGGAAUUCCUGGUGUAGCGGUGGAAUGCGCAGAUAUCAGGAGGAACACCUAUGGCGAAGGCAGCUCUCUGGUACGUGACUGGACGCUGAGACGCGAAAGCGUGGGGAGCGAACAGG